CAGUGCUGAGCCUCACCUCUGGUGGCGCUGUGUCACACCCGGUGAAUGAAGCAGUUGGCAAAACCCAGAGCCAACUGACCAUCCUCACCACGAGACCGCAGACGGGAGGUCGUUCCUGCCAACAGUUUUGUCAUCUUUUGCUAAUUUGGCCAUAAAAAUAUAUAAAGACAACACAAUAAACGAACAAGAACAUCCCCACCUACCUUUCCAUCAGACCUGUGUGUCUUCACAACAAAAAUCUUAAAUUAUUUCCGUCUCUGUCUCAGCUGCCAUUCCUGAGCCUUUCCUCCCCACUCUUACCCCGUGCUUGAUCUGGCCAGGAAACUGUUAAUAAGUUAGAUUAAAUGCAACCAGAUAGUUUUAUUUUAAAUACAUUUUUACUGUUUUAUCUAAAUAUGACUAUUUUUAAUGGAUUGAAAUAGACUCUCUUCCUAUUGGACUGAAACACUAAAUGAUGGGAGGAAAGUUGAUAAAUGUAGUUUUUUAUUUUUUAUUUUUUGCAGAUUGUCUCAAAAUGAUGUUUUGUUGAACUUUUACUGAGUCCUUUUCGCUUGUAAAUAUCCUUUUAUUUCAAAGUAGAAACAAGUGUGUGUGAUUGGUCAGACACGAGAAAUGAAACUUGAACCUGUCUAGAUUGAAGUGAAGCUGAGUGACGGCCGUCCUUCACACGUGCCGAAGGUCUCAGCAGGUUGGAGUGAGCCACAUGGGGGCGGUAUCCUCUAAUGCUGUCUGCAGGCUCUCUUCCUCGGCUCCUUACUGUCUCACAGGAAAAAUGUCAGUAAAAGCACGCUCAGAAUAACAAACAAACAAGAAGAAAAACAACCAAUCUAGUGUGUUUCCUAAAUCCCUGCAUUCUUCUUCUGUGUUCCGCCUGAGUCACGGUGACUGUUCUGACAAAUCAUCAACAAGAAAGGUCAGUUGAGCAGCUAAUUUGAAGCAGCGGUAAGGUCCUCCCACGGCGGCGCCUUCCAGGCAUUCCUGUCACACUUUGAUGCCUCCAGUUUCCAGCGUGGAGCGACUCUUCUCUUUCGGUUGGAUUGGCGGUCUGGACGCGGCUGUUGACGAUGAGCAACGAUGACUUGCCUGUAAUAAAAUCCAAAUAUUUUGAUAAUGGGCAGGAGGAAAUGGACAGGUGCUGUGUUUGUUUAGGCGACAGAGCUGCUCUCUUCCUGACAGGUGCUCUGCAGACCGGGCAGCGAGGGAAACUCCGCUCACCAACGGAUGCGAGCGCCUUUUGAGGACUCUGUUGACAUAACAUAAUCCCAUCACUUUUUUUUUUUUUUAAGACUCUGAGGUUGUGGUUAAAGUACCUGACUCUGCCUUGGAGAUGAUUCACUAAUGUAGCAGAAAGCAGGUCGUUUUGCAUGGGUCAGAACUGAUUGCUGUGUUUAGAGAACAAAUGUAUGUGUGUGUGUGUGUGAGACUUCCUUUUAAUAACAUACCAUAACAUUUGGUCAUCUGAAGUGCCUCCAGGACUCAUCCGACUAUCCGGUCUUGUGGGAGAGUUUGGUGCUUUCCAGCCACUAAUGUUGGAUCAGUCACUGGUUCCUGAUUAACCAGAGCUGCUCCCAUGUUUCCCCUCCUAUCGGCUUCUACGCACUGCAAAAACACAAAGUCUUAACAGUGCUCACAUGACAGAUGUUGUUCAGCAGCUGACCGGCCGGCCGGCUCCCGGCUUCUUACCAGCCGUUGUCCCGGUGCGCGGUGACGCAGGUCGCCGGCACACAGAGGACAAUCCUGCAUCUCCUCCCAUGUCUUGUGCUCCUCAGCUUCAGUGUUCUUCGUGUGGAAGUCAUGAUGGACGGGCAGCUGCUGUCAAUCCAAUGGACUAGCAGCCCAUGGCAUAUUUGUGGACUUGCAGUCGACGCUUUAUACCAGAACUGUGCUGCCUUCCCUUCGCCUUUCCCCCACGGCCCACAUUCCAGCCUCUCCCGUCACCAUUCACGCCGCGUCUCUCCACGUUUCUACGCCGGCAGCAGAGAUGUCUCACGCUCAGGUUUGAGGUUGCAUCAUUUGUCUUUCCCCAGCAAUUGACAUAUCUGUGAUAAAAUGCGAGUUCACCCACUGAGGCUUUGUACCGAGGGAUUUGAAGAGGUGUAAAAGGAUGUGGCCUGGGGCUCUGUUCUUUGCUGGAGGGAACGCAGUUUUUCUUUAGAAAAAAAAAAAGAUGGUGGGAAGGGAAGUGUGGGGGAAGAAAGUGGUGAAGUAAAAAAAAAAAAAAAAAAAAAAAAAGGUACCUUUUUUGGAAACUGCUGUGGGUCACAUGGAUGUUCGGUUAUAUUUUCGGAAAAGUCGUUGCAGAAGUGGCCUCCCUGUAAAACAGAAAAGAAAGACUUUAGACUCCACUCAGACAUGAGGUUACAGUACAUACACUGUAAAAGAACAAACCCAUAAAGACAGCUGCAUUCAGGUUUGAAGUAGCAGCUCCAAACCAGUGAGCAUGUGUAAGUUCCCAGGACUGCAGAUAAGGUCAUAUAGUCUUAUCUACGUCUUUUUUCCACUCUUUGGUGAUGCUGCAGCCGCCACAAAGCAGAGAGGUCCACAGUGCAAACCAGAGGUGGACCACCAGAACAUCCAGGAGGCAAAACGGUCCUCAAUGCUGAGGCCAUCAACACUCCACAGAAAUUUAGCAGUAUUCCGGGCUAAACUAAUUGUCUUUGUUUUUUAUUGUAAAGCUUUUACAAAUCAUAAAGUGUUUAAUAGAUCAGUUUAGAACAGACCAGUCAAAAUAUGUAACAUUAUACAUCUCAAAAGGCGUUUAUGCAGGUUUUACAUAUUGUGAUAUUCUAUAUUUUGAAGUUGGCAUAUUUAAAUGUUGUCCAGUGUGAAUGGUACAAGUUCUAGGCGCUGUUGUGUCAAUGUUUGAGACUCUUAUUUUGAAGCCAAAACGGAAGUAGCUCCUGGGUUAACCCUGCUGUACAUGACUGAUGAAAUGUUUUUAUCACACUUGCUGACAAGACUAUUACUAAAGCACUGAAGGAGAUUCUUCAUAAAACUAAAAAAUUACAGAAAACCGGCGUCAGCAGCGUCUUCUUCAUCAGACUGCUGUACAACAGGAGCAUUUCCAGAACAACUACAGGAAGUCCGGCCUGCCCACUGGCAUCAACUUCUCUGACAACGCUUUGAAGGAAAUGCGUAUUUUUGAAUCCGAUUGAGAGGCAUUCACUGCUUUUAAAUCCAACUUCAGGCAGCAUGUCUGGUACUUAUGAAAAAAAGAAAUCGACUUCACCCAAAUACUUUGUAAGCAUUUUGAAAUGAACGCAGUUCGUCUUAGCUGUUAGCUGCUAAAGCUCCUGAUAUGAAGCCGUUGCUGUUAGCCAUGCAUGAAACCAGCAAUAGAAGGACUGGUGUGACUGAGAUGAGGACGGUCACAAGAUUCCUUCAAAGGUUUGCAAUUUGUGCCCUUUUAUUUUUACUUUCCUCAAAAAUAUUGCAAACAUAUUGCCUUAUCGUCUUGUAUCGUCUAAAAUCCUAAGUUCUAUCUCUAGCGUACGCCAAUCAGAUUUUUUAUUUUUUUUUUUUUUACCCUCUACUGAAGCAUUUUAUUUGCAGGACAAAGCUUGAGCUGGAGACAUAACAGGAAAACUGGAAGCACAAAGUAACCAGGGUUUCCAACUGCAGCAACCAAAGACCAAUCAGACGAGGAUCCGGACCGCAGCGUUGCAACACGACCGCGCUGGUCAUCGACACCGCAAAGGGAAACUGCAACCCCCAGCCUCCCACGCCCCAACCCCCCCCUCAGGAUACCAGCAACAGUCAAGCAGCUCGAACUUCAGAAAAAAACAAAGUUGCACCGGUUGAGGAAGGGUGUGUGUGUGGGUGGGAAGGGUGGUGGGGGUUACGGGGGUUGCUAGCGUGGGUGAGGAGGGGCGAGGCCAGGCGUGUCAUUCCAUUCCUACUUGAGCUGGGCACUGCUAUUCCUAGAGUGUGGUUACAUGGCAGUUGAUGUGGGUUUCCUCUUAGUUGCCUCGAAGAUGACUGGGCCUGACCACAUCCACAUUGACACACACACACCAGCAACACAUUCACAAAGUGACAACUGUGUGCGCACAUGCAGCACACACACACCACACAAACUUUCAAGGAGAGGACAAAGAGGAACUGAAUCAUUGCCAUGCUUUAGCAUGAAUGUAAGGGACGGGGGGAAGCGAGGUGACCAUUCUUAAAAGUUUGUGUCUGUGUGUGUAUGUGCACUGUAAGUUCACUUCUGCUGCAAACCGUUUGUGUACAUGUGCUGUUUGUUGCUCAAGUGUGUGUGUGUGUGUGUGUGUGUGUGUGUGUGUGUGUGUGAGCUGGGUGUGGAUGCAUUCCCUGUCUCUCCACGUCCUGAGCGCGCUCAGCCUGCUCCGCGCUCCAUCUUUAAGGUUUCCUUCGGCUGCAGCUCGGCGCUCGUUAUCUAUCAAAAACCUACAGUGCCGGAGCACGUUUGUGAAUAAAGAAAAAGGAUCCAAAAAUAGGUCUGGAGGAUGACUGGAGUUCUUCCUCUUCCUCUUUCCUUUCUGCACUCACUGAAAGACAACUUUGUUACUUUCAGCGGCAGCGGUUAGCGUCUUCUUGCAAUUUUCUUUAAAAAAAAAAAAGAGAGACAACUUUAAGACCAAAGUGUGUCCACUUUUUGAAGCAGAACUGGUAUUAAAGUGAAUAAUCAAAAUUGUCCUAGACCAAAAUGUUUUGCUGGUUUUUUUUUCCACAGAGAUGCUUCUUCUAGGUGAUAAGAUGCAGUGAGCCCCAGGUGCUUCCUGCCAAUAAAGCAGUAACCAGUCAAUCGGGUGCACAGACCCCAGCAGACCCCAGACUGAGAGUCUCAGUUGGACGUGAUUGUGAGUAAAAACUCUCAACCCAAACGGAGAGAGAAAACCAACAGCUUUUUAUCAAUGCUGAUCCGUUUCCGCCAGAAAGGCCGGUGGAAGUCCCUUAUCGCCCCAUCAGGCUUUACAUGUCAGGCGCUUUUAAAUGGCUCCCCUGGGUUGCUGCUUGAUGGCUUUCACUCAAUUAUCAUACUGACUUCAGGGUUAAAGCGUAGCGAGCGAAAGGCCUUCUCCAGAGAGAGCUCCAGCUCCAGAGGAGGAGAGCGAUGUCUGCGGGCUCUUCCAGGAGGCUGGACUGAUGGGAAAGAGCUGGCGAAAAGAGCGAGGAAAGCGAACUCCCUCCUCGAGCUGCUUUACGAGGGCCUGGCAGAAGUGCUGAGGAAAGAAAAGAGGUGCAGCAAGAGGACGGAGGGGUGUCAGUUUGAGAAGGGAUAGAGAGAUGAAAAGUGUCCUUUUGUCCAACGUUGGGGGAAAAGAGGCACUUUGCCUCUGUUGGGUCACAGGGUUUACGGAGAACUAGGACUGCACCCUGGCACACGUGGCUAUAAAUCUGCUUCAUUAGUCCCAACAAGCAGCAAUGUGGAGUCUAGAGUUUUAUAAUGUGAGCUCUGGCUUUGAGAGCAACAACCUGACCGCUAAUAUCUCAGAUCUUAACGCCAACAGUCAAGAAACGGGACAAUGGCAGCAGGGAGAGUUUCUUAGGUAACUUCCCAAGAGUUAGACACUUGAUUGAAUGAACCUGCUAAUCUGCUUCAGCAUCAGACUGAUCUUGUGCAAUAGUCCCAAUUCCUUUCUGACGUCUUCCUACACCAGCCACUUUGAAUAAUCAGCCAAGCUGAGUCAUUGUGUGAACUGAUUACCUUCGGAAAACAAAAGGAACACCUUAAAAACGCAGCUCUGCAGGCCUUGCCCAUUGAUCCUGGUUUUCCAUGACGUGCAUCCGUCUCCACUACCUUUUCCUCUCACACACACACACACAACUACGCGCAUUCGUGUUGGUUUAUACACACACGCACACACACGCAGAAAAAAGACUGCCACUUAUUGGAAUUCAGUGUGGGGCCCAGGUAGGGGAAGCUCUGCCCAUAUAUGAGCAAAGGAGGAAGAAGGCCAGGUGUGUGUGGUUUGAACACCGUUGGAACGACUGUUCUAGAGAACACACACACCCGGGCGCACACGCGCACACACACAGGAAAAAGCCCAUUCACAGAAAGUACAGAGAAGACACAUGCAUACCGAGGCUGGAGCCAGCUCCUCCUGUUGUGCACGUUCAGCAUUCAGUCCUGUGACGUGAAAGUCAUGCCACUAAGCCUUAACUCUACGAUCUAGCGCAGAAUGACAGACUUGUUGCUAUAUAAACAAAGAGAGUCAUGUGAAAAGGAAAGUGGGGAAAGAGGGAAUGAGUCAAGUCAUAGUGAAGACUUCUUAACCUAGUUUUUGUUACAUAACUCCACCAGCAUUGGAGGAACUAUGCUAUGUCGCAAUGUCUCACUGCCAUAGACACCAGCCGGAGGUUUAGGCUGGAUAGGGGUGACUUGCGGUCUAACUUCCCUCAGCCUUUCCCACCUUCAGGAAACGUGUGCGUCUGCCACCCUCCGCUGUGGAGUAAGACGGCCGGUCAUGACGGGAAGCCCUGAAGCAAAGUCCUAUUCUGCCAGUCUGACCACGAACACUCAACGUCUGCUCCCCUUCACCCACAGCACUUUUCUGCACCUCAGAAACGUAAUGUUACUUUUCUAAAAAUAAAAAAGUACCCCAACCCAA